UCGAACUCCUGAUUUCAAGUGAUUGGACUCCCAAAGUGCUGGAAUUACAGGCAUAAGCCACCAUGCCUGGCCUCCCCUAAUUUGCUUCUUUAAACCUCUCUACAUCAUCACAAGAUGGGUGUUACUAUGAUCACUAUUUUACAGGUGAGCAUAUGAGGAACAGAGAGGUUAAGGAGGAACAGGGUGAUCUGCUACAACUCUUCAGCAGGGCAUUCUGGGCAGGACUGUCUAACUUGUGAGAGGCAAGGGGACUAUUUAUAGCCUAUGUAUUCCCGUUAAAGUAACAAACAUAUAUCAAGAAUAAAUAUUACAGUAUAUUUCUAGCAACCAUCUAGAAAUAGGAAAUAGUAUCAGUACCAUAUUGUCAGAUGACAGUAGGAUUAAAUAAAACCGGAGUAACUAAGUAACUGACCCUUUAUUCCCUGCAUUUAAAAGAAAAGUAUGUCUUGGAGUUGAAUUAAGUAACCUGGGAUAGAUCUCUAAAAAUCUGUAAGUGAAACAGGGGUCACAUAUUAACAUGUUAUACUAGAAACAGUGUCUAAGAGAGGAAUUUGGCACUGGAAUCUACAUAGGGAACAAUUAAAUUAUCCAUAAAUGUUUUUUACUUUAUCUUGAAAAAGGUAUAGUACCAAAAACUCCACAAACACUGCUAGACCCUCCAUAAUACGUGUGGGCUCUAAGAUAAGAGUGGAAAUAGAGGCCCACAUAACAUGUGUAUAAAUAUUUUAACAUUAUAAAGCAAACUACUCCAAUAAUCUGGCCUGCAUUUCCACCUAGGUUCUCAAUGGCCCACUUCCUGACCACCACCCUCUGGAGUCCAAAGGAGAUUUGCUUAUUCCCAAUGUUAUUCCUGCAGGUCAGCCAAAGAGGAGCAAAGAGUCAUCCACCUCAAUCAUGUUCAGGAAAUGAUCAGGUCAAGAUGUGGAGUGAGCCAGCUUUUCUCUUUCGUGCCACAUUUUCUGACCCAGCAUUUCAAGCUACCCAAGGUGCGAAAAAGAAAGAAGGCCAAAGGGAAGAAGGUGGUGCUGACCCUUGCGGUCUUGAAAAAGCAGGAGACCAUGAAAGUGGUGAAUCUUCCAUUUGAGAAAUUUGGCACUGGACAGGACAUUUUGGCAUUGGACAGAACAUCCAGCCCAAAAGGGACCUCACUUGCUUUGUCAAAUGGCCCCAUUAUACUAGGUUGCAGCAGCAGAGAGCCAUCCUCUAUAAGCAGCUAGAAGUGCCUUCUGUGAUUAGUCAGUUCACCAGGGCCUUGGACCACCAAACAGCUGCUCAAUGGGGUAAGCUGGCUGGCAAGUACAGACCAGAGACAAAGCAAGAGAAGCAGCAGAGACUGUUGGCCUGGGCUGAGAAGAAAGCAAAGGAGACAUCCCCACUGAGAGAUCACCUGUCCUUUUAAUGGGGGUUAACGCUGUCACCACCUUAGCGGAGAAAAAGAAGGAUCAGCUGGUGAUGACUGCACAGGACAGAGAUCCCAUUGAGUUGGUUGUCUUCCUGCCUGCCCUGUGUUGUAAACUGGGGGUUCCUUACUGCAUUAUCUAAUGGAAGGCAAGCUUGAGACAUCUAGGAUUAAAAAACAAACAAACAAACAACAACUCUUAAAAAUAUUCUUUUAAGGUCUCUGGUUUUCCUAGGCAGAGGACCCUGCGGCCUUCCGCAGUGUUUGUGUCCCUGAUUACUUGAGAUUAGGGAUUGGUGAUGACUCUUAACGAGCAUGCUGCCUUCAAGCAUCUGUUUAACAAAGCACAUCUUGCACCGCCCUUAAUCCAUUUAACCCUGAGUGGACACAGCACAUGUUUCAGAGAGCACAGGGUUGGGGGUAAGGUCACAGAUCAACAGGAUCCCAAGGCAGAGGAAUUUUUCUUAGUGCAGAACAAAAUGAAAAGUCUCCCAUGUCUACUUCUUUCUACACAGACACGGCAACCAUCCGAUUUCUCAAUCUUUUCCCCACCUUUCCCGCCUUUCUAUUCCACAAAGCCGCCAUUGUCAUCCUGGCCCGUUCUCAAUGAGCUGUUGGGCACACCUCCCAGACCGGGUGGUGGCCGGGCAGAGGGGCUCCUCACUUCCCAGUAGGGGCGGCCGGGCAGAGGCGCCCCUCACCUCCCGGACGGGGCGGCUGGCCGGGCGGGGGUGCUGACCCCCCCCACCUCCCUCCCGGACGGGGCGGCUGGCCGGGCGGGGGGCUGACACCCCCACCUCCCUCCCGGACGGGGCGGCUGGCCGGGCAGAGGGGCUCCUCACUUCCCAGUAGGGGCGGCCGGGCAGAGGCGCUUGUUUAUCUGCUGACCUUCCCUCCACUAUUGUCCCAUGACCCUGCCAAAUCCCCCUCUGUGAGAAACACCCAAGAAUUAUCAAUAAAAAAAUAAAAAAAAAAUAAAAAAAUGCAGUCUCUAAAUUUUGGGGGAGACUGAUUUCAGUAAUAAAACUCUAGUCUUCCAAAAAAAAAAAAAAAAUUCUUUUAAAACUUCUAAUUAUUAGGUUUUUUUUUUUAUCUCUUCAGUACAUCAAAAUGUCUGGUGGUAGGAAAAUACUGGACUCAUAUAUGACUGUCUACGUGAUUUGCAGGGCCCAGUGCAAAAUGAAGUGGAUGUUGUACCUCGUUCAAAGUGUUAAGCGUUUCAAGAUGGCAACAGCAGAGCAUUAGGCCAAGUAUGAGGUCAUUAUGUACAUGGGUCCUUGUGUGACCACAGAGGUCACAGGAACAUGAAGCUAGACCUGAGUGUAUAUUCAGAUAGGUAAAUCUUACAGAUUUUUAAAACUCAAUAAAAGAAAAACUACAUUUCAUGUGUGAACACAAAAAUUGGAAUUUAAUUGGCAAUAGCAUUGGGAUUUGUGCUCAGAGUCACAGUUUACAUCUGACCACAAUUUCUAUAUGAAUUUUUUAAGAUAAAACAGUAAGAAUUUUAAAGAAGGUUUCUGAAAUUUAAAAAUUAUAAUAACAUAAUUAACUUUGAUAUUUUAAUUCCAUGUAAUUUAAAACAUUUAACAGAUAUAUAAUGUUCCACUAUUAAUUUAACUAGAUGUAUAAAAAUAAAACAUAUAUAAUAAAAAUAUUCUACUUAUUUUUAAAUUAUCUAUAUUAUACUGAGUAAAAGAAAAUUUAGGAAUAUAAAUAAAUGAGCAUUUUUGAACAUGUAAAAAUAUUUUCUUGCUGUUUUUAGGAGACUUUUAGCAGGACAGGAGCUUACCUCUCAUCUACCUCUGCUUGGACAAACCAGUGAUGUGAUUUGCAAAUAGGCUGUAACUUCACCGAAAACACAUCACAGUAAAGAAAGGUAGUGACUUUCAGAGAAUUUGACCUAACUUAGAAUUUGUAAAAGAGAAAAGCAUUGUCCUUAUGCCUAAAGUACAUGACUGUUUCUUUUUAAGUUACAUGUAUAUUUACCUGACCAAUUUGUUUUACUCUGUAUUUUAAGUUAUCAGGUGAAAUGGUUUUGGAAUAAAUUAAUGAGUUGUUUCUUCUGAAUAAAUGUGCAUGUUACAAAUGCAAACACGUGUAUGUAUUAUACAACUAUGCAGCUUCAAGAGCUGACUUAUUUCUAUCAGCUUUUUAUUCCCUUAAAAAAAUCAGGCUACUGAAGCAUAUUAGAAUUUAAUUACACCAAUUAGUACUGCCACAUCAGACAUAUGAUGUGCCUUCAAUUAAGAAGUACCUAAUGGGUAUUAGUACAAUUUAGCUUCAUAAUUAAAGUUCUAAGAACAGCACAAAUUAAACAUUAUGAUUACAAAACAUUAAAAAUCUACUGGUGAAAUUAAAGCUGAAUAUUUAACUUCUCCUUUUGAGCUGAUUUUAAAAAAGAAAAUCAGGAUUAUAUAAAAUGCAAUGUUAUUAUUGAAGCAUUCUGAAUUUAAAAACAGAAAUUAAGCUCACAUGCCCAUAAAUAUGUGCAUAUAUAAUGAUUAAAUAUUUAGUAAAAUACCCAACCUAACACUUGUGCCACCUAAUAAGCAUUAAAGGUUAUCAUUUUGGAGUUUCACUUGA
rnacentral:lncRNA from 1 species